rnacentral:rRNA from 1 species
AGCAGCCGCGGUAAUUCCAGCUCCAAUAGCGUAUAUUAAAGUUGUUGCAGUUAAAAAGCUCGUAGUUGAAUUUCGGGAUCAGUACGCUGGUCGUGCCUCCGGUAUGUACUGGUGUCACUGAUUCCUCCCUUCUGAAGAACCAUCAUGCCAUUAAUUUGGUGUGGUGGGGAAUCAGGACUGUUGCUUUGAAAAAAUUAGAGUGUUUAAAGCAGGCUCGCGCUUGAAUACAUUAGCAUGGAAUAAUGAAAUAGGACGUUUAUCCUAUUUUGUUGGUUUCUAGGAUUGACGUAAUGAUUAAUAGGGAUAGUUGGGGGCAUUAGUAUUCAAUUGUCAGAGGUGAAAUUCUUGGAUUUAUUGAAGACUAACUACUGCGAAAGCAUUUGCCAAGGAUGUUUUCAUUAAUCAAGAACGAAAGUUAGGGGAUCGAAGACGAUCAGAUACCGUCGUAGUCUUAACCAUAAACUAUGCCGACUAGGGAUCGGAUGAUGUUAAUUUUUUAAUGACUCA